rnacentral:rRNA from 1 species
UACGAAGGGUGCAAACGUUGCUCGGAAUCAUUGGGCGUAAAGCGCACGUAGGCGGCUUGCCAAGUCGGACGUGAAAUCCCUCAGCUCAACUGAGGACGUGCAUCCGAAACUGGCGAGCUUGAGUGCUGAAGAGGAUUGCGGAAUUCCCGGUGUAGAGGUGAAAUUCGUAGAUAUCGGGAGGAACACCAGUGGCGAAGGCGGCGAUCUGGGCAGACACUGACGCUGAGGUGCGAAAGCGUGGGGAGCAAACAGG